rnacentral:rRNA from 1 species
UGGGGAAUAUUGCACAAUGGGCGCAAGCCUGAUGCAGCAACGCCGCGUGAGGGACGACGGCCUUCGGGUUGUAAACCUCUUUUAGUAGGGAAGAAGCGAAAGUGACGGUACCUGCAGAAAAAGCACCGGCUAACUACGUGCCAGCAGCCGCGGUAAUACGUAGGGUGCGAGCGUUGUCCGGAAUUAUUGGGCGUAAAGAGCUCGUAGGCGGUCUGUCGCGUCUGCUGUGAAAACCCGAGGCUCAACCUCGGGCCUGCAGUGGGUACGGGCAGACUAGAGUGCGGUAGGGGAGAAUGGAAUUCCUGGUGUAGCGGUGGAAUGCGCAGAUAUCAGGAGGAACACCGAUGGCGAAGGCAGUUCUCUGGGCCGUAACUGACGCUGAGGAGCGAAAGCGUGGGGAGCGAACAGGAUUAGAUACCCUGGUAGUCCACGCCGUAAACGUUGGGCGCUAGAUGUGGGGACCAUUCCACGGUUUCCGUGUCGCAGCUAACGCAUUAAGCGCCCCGCCUGGGGAGUACGGCCGCAAGGCUAAAACUCAAAUGAAUUGACG